AAAAAGAGUAAGGUCCAGAGGCAGAGAAUCCAAGUUCUGUCACAGGGACAGCUAGAUUGCUCCCAUCCUGUUCCAGCCACUGGAAGCCAAAGGAGCUCUGUGACUCAUCAAAAUUCCUCAUGCCUGUGUCUUGUCUCAGCAGAGAAGCACCAGCAGCUCUAACUCCCUAAUUCUUGAGGCAGGACAGAACUUGUUGGAGAAGUACAGCCUGUCUCCUCUCCAGGAAACCCCUCCUCGCUUCCUCUCUUGAUGCUGAGAUAAAAAGCUGCUGGCAAAGAAGCAGAGCCAAACAAGGUUCUGGCAUGGAAAAUGGCUCUCGUAGCACUGCCAGAAGAAGGGAAUGCUGGAAAGAAGAUUCCUGGAGAGGGCUGAACUUCACUUUGCACCAUGCAAGCAGCACAAUGUGAGGCUGAAGAUGAACAGAUCCUGUUCUCAAAACCGCUAGGAGAUCGUAGAUGGAGUAACAUAGAAAUGCUUGAAUUUUAUCUAUACCAAUGGAGUAAAAUGUAUUUACUGUAUUUGCAAAGUGACGAGCAGUUCAGUGGAGCUUCAGUAUUAAGUAUCAUUUACACCUGCUUUCUGGCUUGUUAGUGUCAGUAAGCAAAAUUCAAGUGUAUAUUGUCUUCUUCACACAGAUACAGGGAAAAAUUCUAGCAUGAAGGCUUUUUGAUGCUCAUAAAAACUAUUUGCUUAAGGACAAACUUCAGAGGAAUGAAAAUUUUACAGUAUCUCCCGAUUUUUGUCAGGCUGACUGUGUGUCACAGAAAUUACUUUUCUUGAGACAUUUCUGUGCUUCUUUCACCAAAACUUAGGAAUUAAAAAAAAAAAAAAAAGAAGAAAGCAUUCAUAAUGGGCAUGAAAUACUUAUUUUCAGCUAUCUGAAGUACUUGUCAAAUCUCUGGAAAACAUAUGGGGUUUGUCUAUCUUCAAUUUAGGCCCUUAGGUUUCUCCAGAUUUGUGGAUGCUAUCAUUAAUACUUAGUCAUAGCACAGAGCAGCACUUUUGCUUUACUUCUAUUAGGUUUGGGUGUUUUGCCUGCUGCAAGUGAAAACAGAAAAAUAUUAAGAACCAGAAAUGAAUGUGGAAAAAUCUUUGAAAAUAAACUAACUCCAAUGCUUUAAAUUGUUAGAAAUAAGACAUAUGUAAAUGAUUUGUUUGUGUUUGUUUAAAGAAGUUCUGUUUAAUGUUAAUUUAGUGAAAUUCAACCAUUGCAUAAACUUCUAAGAAUUAUCUGAAGAUUCCUAGGAAGAUUAAUUGGUCUUUUUUUUUUUUUUUUUGGAAUGGUACUUGCUUGCUACUUUUUGAAAUAAAGUUGAAGAGAAUGAGACUACAUAAAAUUUUGAAUCCUUCUUAACCAACAAAAGAAAACACAAAGUAUAAUGCAAAAUACUUUGGCUGAUUUGACUAAAAUAUGUUUAAUCCCAUGCAGCUGUGCAGAAUUGAAAGUAAGGCGAGCUCCCGAGCACCUUUGUAGACAGCUCUGAGCCCACAGCAAAUCAGUGAUCACAGAAAUGGUCCUGACACUUCUGGACAGGGCUGGCUGCAAGCACAAGCAUUUAAAAAAGGGGAGAGCUGCUGGUUAAAAUUAGAUGUCAGUGCAAACCUCCUUGUCUUGCAGUGGAAGUGCUGCAGGGAGAGGAGCACGGCAGCACGUGGUGAACGCAAGCCUUUGCUGCAGACACCGCUGUGUGCAUGCACGCUGGCACGUGUGCCUGCAGAGGCACACAGAAACACAGGAAUAUACACACGUGCUCAGAAGAUGUGGUUUUCUACACUCCAGUGGUGCCUCUGUGACUGUUUCACUACAGCCCUGGAUAGACACAGCAGGGUCGCUACACACACGGUUACACAGGACUUGUUUUAACCUCAGAUGGGGACAUUCAAAACAAAUUUGUUGCCAGAUCCCAAAACUGUG